UCAAUUACAGUCUCUUGAUGACUUUAAAAUAAAAGUACAGGAUGCAAGUUGUAAUUGAAAGACCAAAUAAUGCAUAUUCAUAACCUUUAAGGUUUUUUCCACUGUCUAUCAAUUUUAUAAAAUGCACUAGAAUUACAACAUUUAUCCCCAGACAAAAUCCAGAAAACUUAGAGCUCUACUUUGUCUCAAAAAUAAAAUAAAAAAGGAAAGCAAGAAUGCGAAAUUAUGUACAAUCUUUUAUUACAUUCUUAUUUAAUUGAUUACAUUCCUAUGUUGUUUGUGCUUACGAAAAGGCAUAUCCCGUUGAAGGUAGGGUCGAAACCGAAACUGCAUGGUUAAUCGCUAAAAGAUGUUUUCUUGUGCGGAAGAAAUUUCAUGAAAUUAUAGCAGUCGGUAUGGAACUAGUCGUAGGAAAAGUGCACUUACUAGUAUGAUAAAAAAUUUGAGUUUUGCAUUAGGCAGUUGUUGAGAUGCUCAGACAAAAGCGGUGAAAAAUUAUCAAGGUGACACAAAUAAUGGGGAUGAGUUGAUGCGAGCAAACAGUUGGUACCUAAUUUUGCCCAAAUUCAUCACAAGGUUCAACCAUCACAAAUGUUGGAAGAAGUCAAGUUGAGUAUGCAAGGAACUUCAGAUUGAUAAAAGAGAUUGGGAAGCUAUGUUCAUGAAGGUUGACGACAAAGCAUCGCCGAACACACAAGCUUUUUGUAGGCACAAAUUAAGGAAAGUGACAAGAAGAAGAAAUCUUUUAUGUGAUGAGGCACCUCGAACCUCAGUGAAGACGAACCUAGCAUCACAAAUUGGUUUGGGUACAUAUAAUUAUUAGGUUAUCUUAUUAGAUUUUUAAGAUGUACCCCUUUUUAUUUGAGAAAUAAAAUUUAAUUAUAAUGUUUCA